rnacentral:tRNA from 2 species
UGUGCGGUAAUUGUGUAAGUAUUAGACUGGAACUCAUAACCUGAAGGUCAUAGGUUCAAAUCCUAUCCCCGCAACCA